AACGCCUCCUAAGUGUACGGAAAUACCUGGCUGAGGAGAUCAGUGACAUAAACCAGAUAAAACUGUCAGUGGUCUGAGACAGCUACAAGCCACAAAAACAGUUCAUAGUUCCUGCAUUUCUAUAAUGCAUUAAUGAAUAA